rnacentral:rRNA from 1 species
UACGUAGGGUGCAAGCGUUGUCCGGAAUUAUUGGGCGUAAAGAGCUCGUAGGCGGUUCGUCGCGUCGGCUGUGAAAUCCCGAGGCUCAACCUCGGGUCUGCAGUCGAUUACGGGCAGACUGGAGUACUGCAGGGGAGACUGGAAUUCCUGGUGUAGCGGUGGAAUGCGCAGAUAUCAGGAGGAACACCGGUGGCGAAGGCGGGUCUCUGGGCAGUAACUGACGGCUGAGGAGCGAAAGCGUGGGGAGCGAACAGG